AUACGUAGGGUGCGAGCGUUGUCCGGAAUUACUGGGCGUAAAGAGCUCGUAGGUGGUUUGUCGCGUCGUCUGUGAAAUUCCGGGGCUUAACUCCGGGCGUGCAGGCGAUACGGGCAUAACUUGAGUACUGUAGGGGAGACUGGAAUUCCUGGUGUAGCGGUGAAAUGCGCAGAUAUCAGGAGGAACCCCGGUGGCGAAGGGGGGUCUCUGGGCAGUAACUGACGCUGAGGAGCGAAAGCAUGGGUAGCGAACAGGAUUAGAUACCCUGGUAGUCCAUGCCGUAAACGGUGGGCGCUAGGUGUAGGGGUCUUCCACGACUUCUGUGCCGUAGCUAACGCAUUAAGCGCCCCGCCUGGGGAGUACGGCCGCAAGGCUAAAACUUAAAGGAAUUGACGGGG
rnacentral:rRNA from 1 species